rnacentral:misc_RNA from 1 species
GAUGAAGAACGUAGUGAAAUGCGAUAAUUAAUGUGAAUUGCAGAAUUCAGUGAAUCAUCGAGUCUUUGAACGCACAUUGCGCCCCCUGGUAUUCCGGGGGGCAUGCCUGUUCGAGCGUCAUUUCACCACUCAAGCCUCGCUUGGUAUUGGGCAACGCGGUCCGCCGCGUGCCUCAAAUCGUCCGGCUGGGUCUUCUGUCCCCUAAGCGUUGUGGAAACUAUUCGCUGAAGGGUGUUCGGGAGGCUACGCCGUAAAACAACCCCAUUUCUAAGGUUGACCUCGGAUCAGGUAGGGAUACCCGCUGAACUUAAGCAUAUCAAUAAGCGGAGGA